GAGUGUGAGGGUGAUCUGGCUGCGACAUCUGUCAUCCUAUUGACCACCGGGGUUGAUUCAGCUCAUCUGGCUGGCUAGGCGGGUGGCCCCUUCCCGCCUCACUGCUCCAUGUAUGUGCAUCCCUCCUGAAGCUGCAUGCUCCACUGAAGAGGAUGGUCUUUCCCAGAUAUUAGACCAGUCUUCAAUCAAAGGCAGAUAAGUAGCUGAGCUCCCUGCUAGAAACUCAAAACAAGCUCUCGAAAGACCACACCAGACCCAGUCUGUCUGUCUCUCUCU
rnacentral:sRNA from 1 species